rnacentral:misc_RNA from 1 species
GUAGAAGUUGACUUAUGUUACAAGUGGCUGGACGUCGAUCUCCGCAAAGCUGCCACUGAAGGACAGAAUCCAAAAGGCGUGCUUGAAGGACUCGCUGAGAAAGCAAAGCAGAGAUUCGUCGAAUUCAGAAAGAACGAUCCAAAUGCUUGUUUGAAGGAUUCACCUUCAAAAUGGCCUACCAAUAUGUUGGCAACAAACUGUAUGUACAGAGUAUGUCAAACUCUUCUGCAAAGUUCUGAUAGCAAAGCAUUUGAGAACAGCAAAACCAUGUUUGACAGAU